AGAGUUUGAUCAUGGCUCAGGAUGAACGCUGGCGGCGUGCCUAACACAUGCAAGUCGAACGGUUAAACCGCCCUCGGGCGGACAUACAGUGGCGAACGGGUGAGUAACACGUGACCAACCUGCCCCGCGCUCCGGGACAACCGCUGGAAACGGCGGCUAAUACCGGAUACUCCGCGGCCCCCGCAUGGGGGCGGCGGGAAAGCCCCGACGGCGCGGGAUGGGGUCGCGGCCCAUUAGGUAGUAGGCGGGGUAGAGGCCCACCUAGCCGACGAUGGGUAGCCGGACUGAGAGGUCGAUCGGCCACAUUGGGACUGAGAUACGGCCCAGACUCCUACGGGAGGCAGCAGUGGGGAAUUUUGCGCAAUGGGGGAAACCCUGACGCAGCAACGCCGCGUGCGGGACGAAGGCCCUCGGGUCGUAAACCGCUUUCAGCAGGGAAGACCACGACGGUACCUGCAGAAGAAGCUCCGGCUAACUACGUGCCAGCAGCCGCGGUAAUACGUAGGGGGCGAGCGUUAUCCGGAUUCAUUGGGCGUAAAGCGCGCGUAGGCGGCCGCCUAAGCGGAACCUCUAACCCCGGGGCUCAACCUCGGGCCGGGUUCCGGACUGGGCGGCUCGAGUGCGGUAGAGGAGAGCGGAAUUCCCGGUGUAGCGGUGGAAUGCGCAGAUAUCGGGAAGAACACCGAUGGCGAAGGCAGCUCUCUGGGCCGUCACUGACGCUGAGGCGCGAAAGCUGGGGGAGCGAACAGGAUUAGAUACCCUGGUAGUCCCAGCCGUAAACGAUGGAUACUAGGUGUGGGGGGAUCCCCCCUCCGUGCCGCAGCCAACGCAUUAAGUAUCCCGCCUGGGGAGUACGGCCGCAAGGCUAAAACUCAAAGGAAUUGACGGGGGCCCGCACAAGCAGCGGAGCAUGUGGCUUAAUUCGAAGCAACGCGAAGAACCUUACCAGGGCUUGACAUGCGCCUGAAGCCGCGGAGACGCGGUGGCCGAGAGGAGGGCGCGCAGGUGGUGCAUGGCUGUCAUCAGCUCGUGUCGUGAGAUGUUGGGUUAAGUCCCGCAACGAGCGCAACCCCCGUCCCGUGUUGCCAGCAUUAGGUUGGGGACUCGCGGGAGACUGCCGGCGUCAAGCCGGAGGAAGGUGGGGACGACGUCAAGUCAUCAUGCCCCUUAUGCCCUGGGCUGCACACGUGCUACAAUGGCCGGUACAGAGGGUUGCCACCCCGCGAGGGGGAGCGGAUCCCGGAAAGCCGGCCCCAGUUCGGAUCGCAGGCUGCAACCCGCCUGCGUGAAGCCGGAGUUGCUAGUAAUCGCGGAUCAGCACGCCGCGGUGAAUACGUUCCCGGGCCUUGUACACACCGCCCGUC
rnacentral:rRNA from 1 species